UAUUUCUUAAUUUUAAUGGCGUGAAAAAAAUGGAUUUUUUUCAUACUUUCUCAACAAAGAUUUUAUCAAUAUGAAGGUGUGCCCGACAAUCAGACAAGAGCACUCGUAAAUCGAAGGAUGAAAGCCAUUACGUCUGUCGACAGCUGCUGAAAUCUUCUUAAAGGCAAACGGACUCUUAAAAGCUCCCUUGAUGAUUUAAGAACAAUAGUUAUACGAGUUAACUUUGACAUGUGAGGAUAUAUGAUUUUUGCAGGUGUCAAUCAAUACACUCCACAUUUUUUGUCCAAUUUUGUAGAAGUACUACUAGAUUAUCUCAUUUAUGUAAUUUUGAUGCAGAAGCUACUAGAAGACUGUCGUUGUUCCUUACGAUACAGUCCGCUGAGACAUUAUACAUUUUACUUUAUCCUAUCUGUGUCUUGCUUGGCCUUCAGUCCUGUAUUUAAUAAACAAUAACUGUUACUAAUAAUAUUGUCAUGGACAAGGUAUUGUA